rnacentral:piRNA from 2 species
UAUGAUUUGUGUGAUUGCUCGACCA